GGUGACAUAGCCAAUAGGAAAGGCGAAAGACUAGCAUAAAUCUUUGAGCGGUGGUUCGAAUCCACCUGUCACCU
rnacentral:tRNA from 1 species